rnacentral:rRNA from 1 species
AGUGAACGCUGGCGGUAGGCCUAACACAUGCAAGUCGAACGGCAGCACAGUAAUAGCUUGCUCUUACGGGUGGCGAGUGGCGGACGGGUGAGGAAUACAUCCGAAUCUACUUUUUCGUGGGGGCUAACGUAGGGAAACUUACGCUAAUACCGCAUACGACCUACGGGUGAAAUCAUGGGAUCUUCGGAUCUUGCGCGAUUGAAUGAGCCGAUGUCGGAUUAGCUAGUUGGCGGGGUAAAGGCCCACCAAGGCGACGAUCCGUAGCUGGUCUGAGAGGAUGAUCAGCCACACUGGAACUGAGACACGGUCCAGACUCCUACGGGAGGCAGCAGUGGGGAAUAUUGGACAAUGGGCGAAAGCCUGAUCCAGCCAUACCGCGUGGGUGAAGAAGGCCUUCGGGUUGUAAAGCCCUUUUGUUGGGAAAGAAAAGCAGCAGGUUAAUACCCCGCUGUUCUGACGGUACCCAAAGAAUAAGCACCGGCUAACUUCGUG